GACGGCUGCAGCAUCUGUAUACACCUCACACUGCUUGUGUCCUCUUCCCAUCUUUUGAGCCCUCUACUGACCUCUUUGGCUACUCUUUGACAUUACAGGUA